AAAAAAAAACAUAAACCAUUACAGAAAAGAAAACUGCAUUAAGAGUGAAUAGUAUUAGAACCAUUAUUAAUUAAUCGGUCUUUUGAUCUUAUUAAUGCGAAAAUUAUUUUCACAUUUUGUACAAACUGGUGGAGAUUUAUUUCCCCGAGGGUAUCACCAUCCCAGUAGUCAAGCACUUUUUGUGCUGACAUGAAUUAUCAUUGAUAUGGUUAUAUUUAUAAAUUAACUGUUUGCAAAACUUUUAGAAAUGUUGGUCCUCAAUGCUCUUCAACUUCAUACUUUAUUUGGCCUUUUUAACUUUUUUGGAUUUGAGCGUCACUGAUGAGUCUUUUGUAGACGAAACACGCGUCUGGCGUAUAUACAAAAUUUAGUCCUGGUAUCUAUGAUGAGUUUAUCUACAUGUAUUUCUCCUAAAUUGUAACAAGGAAACAUUUAGGUCUUCCUUCGAUCGUCAGUAAACCACUGUACAAGUUAUGUUUUCGUUUGGCAGAGUAGUAUCUACAAGUGCUAACCCACAUCUGCCAGGCAAGCGUCAUUAGAUCUGAUGGUUCGCGAAAAGAGAGUGAAACGCUCUCUGCACCUUACGAACUUUUCCAAGGACUCUUCGAUGGUUCUGUAUUUGGUCUGUUUAAAGGAAAAAAUUCUGUUCGUAUCCAUUAUAACAAAAAUUCAGUUGCAGCCAAUUUCCCCGAUAUAUAUAACUCGGAGAACCUCUAUACAGGACCUACUUAUUGUAUGUUUUGUAAAUUUGUUCUUGUCUUGACGACGCAUGGAAUAUUGGUCACUUGACGUUAUACAAACACAUCAAUCAAUUUCAAAAUUCCCUUUUCGUCUGUUUUACGUUAUUAAUCCUUUGUUAAUAUGACAUAUAUAGUACCU
rnacentral:lncRNA from 1 species